rnacentral:rRNA from 1 species
GCCAAAACAGUAUUAAAGGUUUUGCCUGCCCAGUGAAUUAUUUUAAACGGCCGCGGUAUCCUAACCGUGCGAAGGUAGCGCAAUCACUUGUCUCCUAAAUAGAGACUAGUAUGAACGGUCAAAUGAGGACUAACCUGUCUCUUAUGGGCAAUCCGUGAAACUGAACUCUCAGUACAAAUGCUGAGAUAACCAUAUAAGACGAGAAGACCCUGUGGAGCUUAUAAACAAACUGCGAAAUGACUUAUGCGCACGUUUUUAGUUGGGGCGACUUUGGAAACAAAAAAACUUCCAAGAAUGGGACCACACCUCCCCCAAAUGGCCAACAAGCCUAAUAAAACACAGACCCGGUUUUAAGCAAACCGACAAACGAACCAAGUUACCCCAGGGAUAACAGCGCUAUCUUCUUUUAGAGUCCAUAUCAACAAGUAAGGCUUACGACCUCGAUGUUGGAUCAGGACAUCCAAGUGGCGCAGCCGCUACUAAGGGUUCGUUUGUUCAACGAUUAACAGUCCUACGUGAUCUGAGUUCAGACCGGAGA